rnacentral:hammerhead_ribozyme from 1 species
AUCCAGCUGAUGAGUCCUAAGUAGGACGAAACGUGCGUCCUGGAU